rnacentral:rRNA from 1 species
UACGGGGGGAGCAAGCGUUGUUCGGAUUUACUGGGCGUAAAGGGCUCGUAGGUGGUCAACUAAGUCGGACGUGAAAUCCCUCGGCUUAACCGGGGAACUGCGUCCGAUACUGGAUGACUUGAGUUCGGGAGAGGGAUGCGGAAUUCCAGGUGUAGCGGUGAAAUGCGUAGAUAUCUGGAGGAACACCGGUGGCGAAGGCGGCAUCCUGGACCGACACUGACGCUGAGGAGCGAAAGCCAGGGGAGCAAACGGG